UACGUAGGGGGCAAGCGUUGUCCGGAAUUAUUGGGCGUAAAGAGCGUGUAGGCGGUCCGGUAAGUCAGCUGUGAAAGUCAAGGGCUCAACCCUUGAAAGCCGGUUGAUACUGUCGGGCUAGAGUCCGGAAGAGGCGAGUGGAAUUCCCGGUGUAGCGGUGAAAUGCGCAGAUAUCAGGAAGAACACCGGUGGCGAAGGCGGGUCUCUGGGCCGAUACUGACGCUGAGGAGCGAAAGCGUGGGGAGCAAACAGG
rnacentral:rRNA from 1 species